rnacentral:rRNA from 1 species
UGGGGAAUCUUGGACAAUGGGGGCGACCCUGAUCCAGCCAUGCCGCGUGAGCGAUGAAGGCCUUAGGGUUGUAAAGCUCUUUCGCCGGUGAAGAUAAUGACGGUAACCGGUAAAGAAGCCCCGGCUAACUUCGUGCCAGCAGCCGCGGUAAUACGAAGGGGGCUAGCGUUGUUCGGAAUUACUGGGCGUAAAGCGCACGUAGGCGGGUCAUUAAGUCAGGGGUGAAAUCCCGGGGCUCAACCUCGGAAUUGCCCUUGAUACUGGUGGCCUUGAGUCCGAGAGAGGUGAGUGGAACUCCGAGUGUAGAGGUGAAAUUCGUAGAUAUUCGGAGGAACACCAGUGGCGAAGGCGGCUCACUGGCUCGAUACUGACGCUGAGGUGCGAAAGUGUGGGGAGCAAACAGGAUUAGAUACCCGCGUAGUCC